rnacentral:rRNA from 1 species
UACAGAGGUCUCAAGCGUUGUUCGGAUUCAUUGGGCGUAAAGGGCGCGUAGGCGGCGGGGUAAGUCGGGUGUGAAAUCUCAGAGCUCAACUCUGAAAUGGCACUUGAUACUGCUCUGCUAGAGGACUGGAGAGGAGAUUGGAAUUCACGGUGUAGCAGUGAAAUGCGUAGAUAUCGUGAGGAAGACCGGUGGCGAAGGCGGAUCUCUGGGCAUGAUCUGACGCUGAGGAGCGAAAGUGUGGGGAGCGAACAGG